UACAGAGGGUGCGAGCGUUGUCCGGAAUCACUGGGCGUAAAGGGCGCGUAGGUGGCCCGACCAGUCAGUGGUGAAAGCUCGAUGCUCAACAUCGAGUCGGCCACUGAUACUGUCGGGCUGGAGCACUGUAGAGGCUCAUGGAAUUCCGGGUGUAGCGGUGGAAUGCGUAGAGAUCCGGAAGAACACCGGUGGCGAAGGCGGUGAGCUGGGCAGUUGCUGACACUGAGGCGCGACAGCGUGGGGAGCAAACAGG
rnacentral:rRNA from 1 species